rnacentral:rRNA from 1 species
GACGAACGCUGGCGGCGUGCUUAACACAUGCAAGUCGAACGGAAAGGCCCUGCUUUUGUGGGGUGCUCGAGUGGCGAACGGGUGAGUAACACGUGAGUAACCUGCCCUUGACUUUGGGAUAACUUCAGGAAACUGGGGCUAAUACCGGAUAGGAGCUCCUGCUGCAUGGUGGGGGUUGGAAAGUUUCGGCGGUUGGGGAUGGACUCGCGGCUUAUCAGCUUGUUGGUGGGGUAGUGGCUUACCAAGGCUUUGACGGGUAGCCGGCCUGAGAGGGUGACCGGCAACAUUGGGACUGAGAGCGGGCCCAGCCCCCGAGGGGGGGAAGCAGGGGGGAUUAUUGCAAAAGGGGGGGAGGCGGGAUGCAGCCCCGCCGGGUGCGGGAUGCCGGCUUUGGGUUUGUAAACCGCUUUCGCCGGUGACGAAGCGUGAGGGAGGGUAAUGGGUAAAGAGGCCCGGGCUAACUACGUG